GACGAACGCUGGCGGCGUGCUUAACACAUGCAAGUCGAACGGAAAGGCCCGGCUUUUGGGGGGUGCUCGAGGGGCGAACGGGUGAGUAACACGUGAGUAACCUGCCCUUGACUUUGGGAUAACUUCAUGAAACUGGGGCUCAUACCGGCUAGGAGCUACCGCUGCAUGGUGGGGGUUGGAAAGUUUAGGCGGUUGGGGAUGGACUCGCGGCUUAUCAGCUUGGUGGUGGGGUAGUGGAUUACCAAGGCUAUGACGGGUAGCCGGCCUGGGAGGGUGACCGGCCACGUUAGGACUGAGAUACGGCCCAGACUCGUACGGGAGGCAGCAGUGGGGAAUAGUACACAAUGGGCGGAAGCCUGAUGCAGCAACGCCGCGUGCGGGAUGACGGCCUUCGGGUUGUGAACCGCUUUCGCCUGUGACGAAGCGUGAGUGACGGUAAUGGGUAAAGAAGCACCGGCUAACUACGUG
rnacentral:rRNA from 1 species